GCCGAAGUGGUGGAACUGGUAGACACGCUGUCUUGAGGGGGCAGUGGCUAUUUGGCUGUGUCGGUUCGAGUCCGACCUUCGGCA
rnacentral:tRNA from 1 species